GACGAACGCUGGCGGCGUGCUUAACACAUGCAAGUCGAACGGAAAGGCCCUGCUUGCCGGGUACUCGAGUGGCGAACGGGUGAGUAACACGUGGGUGUACUGCCCUGCACUUCGGGAUAAGCCUGGGAAACUGGGUCUAAUACCGGAUAGGAGCCAUUUUUAGUGUGAUGGUUGGAAAGUUUUUUCGGUGUAGGAUGAGCUCGCGGCCUAUCCGCUUGUUGGUGGGGUAAUGGCCUACCAAGGCGGCGACGGGUAGCCGGCCGUAGAGGGUGGACGGCCACAUUGGGACUGAGAUACGGCCCAGACUCCUACGGGAGGCAGCAGUGGGGAAUAUUGCACAAGGGGCGCAAGCCUGAUGCAGCGACGCCGCGUGGGGGAUGACGGCCUUCGGGUUGUAAACUCCUUUCGCUAGGGACGAAGCUUUUUGUGACGGUACCUAGAUAAGAAGCACCGGCUAACUACGUG
rnacentral:rRNA from 1 species